rnacentral:rRNA from 1 species
AUUGAACGCUGGCGGCAGGCCUAACACAUGCAAGUCGAGCGAGCGGCGGCCGGGUGAGUAAUGUAUGGGGACUGCCCGAUAGAGGGGGAUAACUACGGGAAACGGUAGCUAAUACCGCAUACUAUCGGAUAACCCAUAGGGGAGUAGCUAGUAGGUGAGGUAAUGGCUCACCUAGGCGACGAUCCAUAGCUGGUCUGAGGGGAUGAUCAGCACCACUGGGACUGAGACACGGCCCAGACUCCAAGGGAGGCAGAAGUGGGGAAUAUUGCACAAAGGGCGCAAGCCUGAAGCAGCCAUGCCGCGGUUAUGAAGAAGGCCCUAGGGUUGUAAAGUACUUUCAGUCGGGAGGCGUUACCGACAGAAGAAGCACCGGCUAACUCCGUGCCAGCAGCCGCGGUAAUU